rnacentral:tRNA from 1 species
AUUUAUAUAGUUUAAAUUUAAAACAUUAUAUUUUCAAUAUAAAAAUAAUAAUGUAAUUUAUAAAUU